rnacentral:rRNA from 1 species
AUGAACGCUGGCGGCGUGCCUAAUACCUGCCAGUCGCGCGUACGGACGAGAAGCUUGCUUCUCUGAUGUUAGCGGCGGACGGGUGAGUAACACGUGGAUAACCUACCUAUAAGACUGGGAUAACUUCGGGAAACCGGAGCUAAUACCGGAUAAUAUUUUGAACCGCAUGGUUCAAAAGUGAAAGACGGUCUUGCUGUCACUUAUAGAUGGAUCCGCGCUGCAUUAGCUAGUUGGUAAGGUAACGGCUUACCAAGGCAACGAUGCAUAGCCGACCUGAGAGGGUGAUCGGCCACACUGGAACUGAGACACGGUCCAGACUCCUACGGGAGGCAGCAGUAGGGAAUCUUCCGCAAUGGGCGAAAGCCUGACGGAGCAACGCCGCGUGAGUGAUGAAGGUCUUCGGAUCGUAAAACUCUGUUAUUAGGGAAGAACAUAUGUGUAAGUAACUGUGCACAUCUUGACGGUACCUAAUCAGAAAGCCACGGCUAACUACGUG